GGUUAUAAAUAAUCGUAAAAGUAACGUCAUUCUCGUAGAAGCGGUUGCGGUUGAGGGCCCGAUAGGUCCCCACCUUUUACCCACCUCUCGUUUAGAGUGACACGAUAUAAGAGGUGAGGCUUGUGUUUGGUCGAGAAAGUAUAUGUUCGAGCUAGUUUGACGUUAAAUAAUGUUUCGCCAUCGGUGGGCCCCGGCUAAACCCAACCACAAGAAUGUUUCGUGCAAAUCCCAGUGAGGGCUGGGUCAUCGCAAAUCGAUAGUCAAUUGAUCACCAGAACACGGUACGAAUGAGACUCCAGGGAGAAAUUGGUGCAGUACACACCACUGGAGACUGAGCAUCUCUACAAAGCUUCGAAGACGGCCAAGAAGACCUCAUUCCAAAGUCUCAGGAUUUAGCGCCUCUCUGUUUUAACGAUGGCAUUAAUAACGACUUGUACGAUGCUGGAAGCCCAUGAAGACAAUGGAGUCACAAAGGAAAAAUAAUUUUCCAAGUGACAUUGUGAUUUUCAACGAUAGGUGUUACACUUGUGAAGCACUUAAGUGAAUUAUCAAUCUUGCUGAAAGCUGCCUGAAGGUAGUAUGAACAGAGAGGGGGAGCCAUGACAAAGGGUUUCUCUCCAUUUUAGUAUAAACAUUUCUCAAGCUCACAGCACUAUUUGAAUAAUUAUCAAAGUAAUAUGUUAUCAAAGUAAUACGUUAUCCACUCAAUUUUAUUGAGGGAACGAGUU